rnacentral:lncRNA from 1 species
AUCUUAGUUUGGUCAUUUUUCUUCAUUUUAUUUAUUUUUAUUCGUCACAGGAACAAUCACUCUUCUUCAGCCUUUGAAUCUUGACAACCCAAGUAACUCCAAAAUCUACUCUUUGGAAACUGAGGCAACAGAUAAUGGGAAUAAUACCAGCAGCUAUAUGUUUACAGUUUUUGUGGAGAAUGUAGAUGAUCCUAUUUCCUGUGAUCCAAGUUUUUUAACAGGAGCAGUCUUCCAAAAUUAUAGUAAACUUUAAAAAGAUACACGUGGAUCUCAAGAAGGUCAUUUUGACCCGAUUUCUACUACAAGCUUGGCUGAACCAGCAUAAACUGCUAGAGCAGUACCAAGAUCGGGAUGUCUUCCUCUUCCAUCAUCUGGGCUGUGGGCCUUGGGACAUAAGAGAAGCGAGGACAAGAAGUCACUUUCUGUUUAAAGUAGGGCAACUCUGUGGGUCUCUGUGACCAAGAAUUACCAAAGACAUUGACAUGAUUUUCAAGCUGCUGAUUUGACACACACAUAUUCAAUUCAUUUACUGGGUUUAAUUAUCCAGUUGCUAUAAUUAACCAGAACAAAUCACUAAAUUAGAGAAUCUGCCUACACAUGUUCAGUUUGAAACAAAGGUUCAAAAUAAGCAAGUCCUAGUCGCACCAAAGUUGUUCUAUAACAUCCUUAGAAAGUCCUGUAAAGAGACCCUUACAGGACUACCCAGUCUAGAUUGUGAUACAAUAUUCACUGGAUUUGAUAUCCAAGAUUCAGCUGCACAGUAAACAUUAAGC